AGGACGAACGCUGGCGGCGUGCUUAACACAUGCAAGUCGAGCGGUAAGGCUCCUUCGGGAGUACACGAGCGGCGAACGGGUGAGUAACACGUGAGCAAUCUGCCCUUCACAUUGGAAUAACUUCCGGAAACGGAAGCUAAUGCCGAAUACGACCACCGAAGGCAUCUUCUGGUGGUGGAAAGUUCCGGCGGUGAAGGAUGAGCUCGCGGCCUAUCAGCUUGUUGGUGGGGUAAAGGCCUACCAAGGCGACGACGGGUAGCCGGCCUGAGAGGGUGACCGGCCACACUGGGACUGAGACACGGCCCAGACUCCUACGGGAGGCAGCAGUGGGGAAUAUUGCGCAAUGGGCGGAAGCCUGACGCAGCGACGCCGCGUGAGGGAUGAAGGCCUUCGGGUCGUAAACCUCUUUCAGCAGGGAAGAAGCUUUGGGUGACGGUACCUGCAGAAGAAGCACCGGCUAACUACGUGCCAGCAGCCGC
rnacentral:rRNA from 1 species